GCAGGGUUAGCUCAUCCGGUAGAGCGACUGCUUCCCAAGCAGUAGGCGGCGGGUUCGAGUCCCGUAUCCUGCUCCA
rnacentral:tRNA from 43 species